AACGUAGGUUCCGAGCGUUAUCCGGAUUUACUGGGCGUAAAGCGCGUUCAGGCGGUUUGGCAAGUCGGGCAUGAAAUCCUUCGGCUCAACCGGGGGAGGUUGUCCGAUACUGCUAAACUGGAGGGCAGUAGAGGGUGGUGGAAUUCCCGGUGUAGUGGUGGAAUGCGUAGAUAUCGGGAGGAACACCAGUGGCGAAGGCGGCUCUCUGGACCGGUUCUGACGCUCAGGCGCGAAAGCGUGGGGAGCGAUCCGG
rnacentral:rRNA from 1 species